ensembl:lncRNA
AGGUUUCUAAAUAUUUAUUAACUCAUUCGUGUCAAAUAAAAGAGGAAUUCAUUACACGUUACCUUCCAUAUCCUUAUCAGGAAAAACCGUUUUCAAAAGCAAAAAAGAGGAGUUCCUGUCAUGGCGCAGCGAAAAUGAAUCCGACUAAGACCCUUGAGGUUGCAGGUUCGAUCCCCGGCCUUGCUCAGUGGGUGAAGGAUCUGGUGUUGCAUGAGCUGUGGUGUAGGCUGGCACUGUAGCUCUGAUUAGACCCCUAGCCUGGGAACUUCCAUAUGCCAGGGAAAAAAAAAAAAAAGCAAAAAAGAAUUAACUUCAAAGAAAUUUUAACAAAAAAAAAAGGGACAUCGUUUUACGCUGUCGCAGUCUCUUUGGUGUUUGCCUGUUAAGGAGGCUCGGACUCAUGUCGCUUUGCGUUCGACCUUUUGAACCGUGUGCAGUCUUGGUUCAGGUACGUGGAGAAAAUCCAACCUCACAUACAUGUUCACAUGGGGGGGGGUGUCGAGGGCCUUUCCAGAUGCCUGUGGACGUCUUCUCACGCUGCAUCUCUACUGGAAAGGAGUCGGUUCUCAAAGACGAGUUGUAACACGGAACCAAAGCAACUUGCGAACGUUUCCUUGAAAUGCACUGCCUCUCCUGUGUGAUCGCAGGCUGGUCCCUAAAGCCCAGCAUCUCCGUCCGUGGCCACGCGUCCCUGCCCUGCACCAGAAACUCUCAGAAACCCGGAGCACAGUCCUUGUCCCCCGGGAGAGGUUGCAACACAGACGGUGUUUAGGGCACAGGCCUUGAACCCUGCCGCUUCGCAGCCUCUUCGCCUCUAUUAGUGGGAAAAUAAUAGUACCCCCCCAACAGCUUACGACCAUUAAAUGGGGUCAUGCUUUUUGAAGGGUGCUGGCACCGCUCCUGGCCCUUGAGGGGACCCACCCUAUGAGCCGCUUUUAAACCACAGUUGAACAGCGGCUCACGGUUUAAAAUGUCAGACAGAGAGAUGUUCACUUUCUCCUGCCUUCACACGCCGACAGACGCGGAAAAUUCCACCUGGAGCGCAUAACCGAGCCGGAUGGCGCCCGGUGUAAACCGCCGACUGCGGGUUAUGUAAACUCUGCUGAUUUAUCAGCGAGGGAGUGGCAGGUGGAGGAGCAAGGCUGAUUUGUUCCUGUCCGGGACAAGGAAGAAGUCAUGAUUUUCAAGUCUGACCAUGUCAAGUGCUGACGGUUAAACAGGCAGGCCUCCUGCGACUCCCCACAAGCAGGCAGGGCAGUCCUGAGCUGAGCCUUCUUGCACACAAGCCGCUCCUCCCUGUCCCUCGGCUGCAGCCCCACGCCCCCGCAGGCUCCAGGCACGGUGACCCCAGCAGCCCUCCAGCCAAGCACUUCUAACACAGGUGUCCCCGGCUGGGCUUCUGACAGACCACAGGUGGCCAGAAGUGCCGUUUGGAGCAAAUGGAUAGAAGCAUGUAUUUGUGUCUACAAAGGAGGAAGAGUAGAGAGUGGACGUCUACUCACUUGUCACAAAACAUUUGCGAGAUUAUCAGCUAGGAAAGCACUUAGCUUCAAGGAACAGAAAGCUGACUAUUGCGGCUUUGAAAGAAGGCUUCAAUCUUCAAACCACAAGUUUCAGCAUAAACAGCCGCCAGUGUUGGUUCUGUAGCUGAGUAAUGCCCUGAUUCACCUCUCUGUACCUCUUUCGCCCUUUCUCUCGUGGUUGCAAAAUAGUUGCUGCAGCUCCAACCAUCACAUUCACAUUCAAGGCAUAAAGAAGAAAAGACCACACCAGCCACACCUGUCCACUUUUAUCAGGAAAGAAGGAGCAUUCCCAGAGCCCCACACAGCUUCAGGCUUAUGUCUAAUUGGCUUGAAGUGGGCCUAUCAUGUGACAAAUGCGUCUUCCUGGAAAAUUAAGUACCUGGGCCAACUCCUCCCCAUUCCUUUUUGUGGUUCCACCAGCAAGGAAGUAGGAGGAGUGCAGCGCAGGUAACAGACUCCAGGAUCCAGUCUCUGUUCAAGCCCAGGACCAUCGUCGUCACUGCACGCGCCUGCUCUCAGGCUCAGCCACCAGCACCGAGGAUGAAGUGAGUCUGGACGGGGUCACCGUGAGGCUGCUGGUUUUUCCAGUGUCGACUCGUUAUUCUGCAGACACCAGGAUUCUCAUGAUUCUCCCCUGGGGACCCUUCGGCCGGAGGCCCUGGAACAUCAGGAAGGAAUGGUGGAGAACAAAGGAAAAGGGAGCCAGCGUCUGCCCCAGGCUCUGUGCGCGGGUGGGAGAUGGGAAGAAACAGUGAGGCUCAUGCCCUGUCACAAAUCCUCCCAGACGGCCUGCCCAGCGUCUGUGCCCAUGCGUUUUUCUGAGAAGCUGGUAACGUUCAGCUGAUUCUCAAAGGGGCUCACCUCCUUGGAAAGUUCAAGAAAAUUCUCUUCCAUCAACAGACUCCAGACCUUAUUGGAGCCAUUUUGCUGCCAUAACUCAAUAAAAAGUUCAAAUGACUCUAACCUACACUGGGGUCAUUUGGUAAGUCUUACAGACUUUUAAAAAAUCAAUUCAGUUUGAAAGUUAAAUAAUAGGAAAGUUAAAUCCUAGCUCUUUAGGAAAACGUAUAAAUCAUAUUUUUAUUUUGAAAAGUAAACGGACACUUACAGGGAACAUCAGGCAAUUAGUUCACUUUAAAAGUUGUAAAAGCAGGGGUUCCCUUCGUGGCUCAAUGGAAACGAACCCAACUAGGAUCCAUGAGGACACAGGUUCAAUCCCUGGCCCUGCACAGUGGGUUAAGGAUCCAGUGCUGCAGUGAGCUGUGGUGUAGGUCGUAGACUCGGCUCGGAUCUGGCAUUGCUGUGACUCUGGUGUAGGC